AUUGACCGCUGGCGGCAGGCCUAACACAUGCAAGUCGAACGAGUGGCGGACGGGUGAGUAAUGUAUGAGAAACUGCCUGAUGGCGGGGGAUAACUACUGGAAACGGUAGCUAAUACCGCAUACCAUCAGAUGUGCCCAGAUGGGAUUAGCUUGUUGGUGUGGUAACGGCUCACCCAGGCGACGAUACCUAGCUGGUGUGAGAGGAUGACCAGCCACACUGGAACUGAGACACGGUCCAGGCGCCGACGUGAGGCAGAAGUGGGGAAUAUUGCACAAUGGGCGCAAGCCUGAGGCAGCCAUGCCGCGUGUAUGAAGAAGGCCGUCGGGUUGUAAAGUACUUUCAGCGGGGAGGCGUUACCCGCAGAAGAAGCACCGGCUAACUCCGUGCCAGCAGCCGCGGUAAUAC
rnacentral:rRNA from 1 species